CAAUAGCGUAUAUUAAAGUUGUUGCAGUUAAAAAGCUCGUAGUUGGACCUUGGACCUGGACAGGCGGUCCGCCUCACGGCGAGUACUGUCUUGCUGGGUCUUUCCUCUUGGUGAUCUGUUGUUUCGGCAGCAGGGAACCAGGACCUUUACUUUGAAAAAAUUAGAGUGUUCAAAGCAGGCUCGACGCCGGAAUAUAUUAGCAUGGAAUAAUAAAAUAGGACGUGCGGUUCUAUUUUGUUGGUUUUUGGAAUCGCCGUAAUGAUUAAUAGGGACAGUCGGGGGCAUUAGUACUCACAUGCUAGAGGUGAAAUUCUUGGAUUUUGUGAAGACUAACUUCUGCGAAAGCAUUUGCCAAGGAUGUUUUCAUUAG
rnacentral:rRNA from 1 species